ACUGGAUAUGGCCACAGAGGUGUGAGCAUGCAUUGGUAAUGCUGAGAAAUGGAUGGGGGGAAUGUAUGUCAGUGUGGCACAGGCAGUAAGAGGAUUAUGGGAUGGCAGCCGAAGCAUGGAGUGGAGAGGAAGAUUGAAAGUGUGCUGUGCAUGAGUCAGUGAGAGUUGUACAACAUCUCUCCCCAUGCAGCGGUCUGUUUACAUGGCACUGAGGGAGGGUGUGUGUGUGUAUGCAGAAGGAGAGAGAUGGUAAAAUGGUUUUGGUUUCUCAAAAACUGCAAGAGUGACUUAAAAAAAAUAUCUUAGGUUUUUUUGUUUUGUUUUGUUAAUAGUGUUGUUUUGGACCCCACUGACUGAUAUGGACAAAAACAUAUGAAAAAAAUAUAUUUUUUUGUGUUCUGCAGAAGAAAGAAACAUCAGCUUGGCCCAACUGAAAGACAAUCUGACAACCAGACUGGUUUAAGUGGCUUUUUGCAGCAGGGAAAAGAACAAUUUAACAAAAUAUUAAAUUCCAGCAACCCCUGGGAGUUUGGACCCUGGCACAGGCUCAUGGAGAUGCUGGUUGAGGGGGCUUGGCAGAACAGCAAGGUCAGCAGAUCUGUCGUGCCGCAGUGGCUCGGAGGACUCAGCCCAUUCCCACCUCUGGCCAGUAAUCCGCCCCAGCAUCCGCCACAGUCCAACCAGACACAUCCGCAGCUGUGCCAAACUAUUCUAACAUAUCCAGCAAGUGAGAAAUGCAAUGCAUUCAGUUUUAAUGCAUUCAGUUUUAAUGCAUUAAGUUCCUCUUUUAAGGAAUGAAAGCAAAAUAAAAUAUAGCAAAGAUGUUUUAUUGAUGUCUUC
ensembl:lncRNA